UACGUAGGGCGCGAGCGUUAUCCGGAAUUAUUGGGCGUAAAGAGCUUGUAGGCGGUUUGCCGCGUCUGCUGUGAAAGCCCGGGGCUUAACUCCGGGUGUGCAGUGGGUACGGGCAGGCUAGAGUGCAGUAGGGGAGACUGGAAUUCCUGGUGUAGCGGUGAAAUGCGCAGAUAUCAGGAGGAACACCGAUGGCGAAGGCAGGUCUCUGGGCAUUAACUGACGCUGAGGAGCGAAAGCAUGGGGAGCGAACAGG
rnacentral:rRNA from 1 species